GUAGGUGAACCUGCGGAAGGAUCAUUACCAAAAAUCCCAUCAUUAUCAACCAACCCUGUGAACCCAUACAAAACACGCCCUUUGGGGAGCUCCUUAAGUGGUGACAAAGGCGUCGUUCGUUUGUUGGCUUUUGUGUGCGUGUGCGUGCACCACACACAUCUGCUUUCGACGACGACGUUCUGCUCCCCAAAUGGGUUUUUUCUCUUUGUCGCCCAUUUAUCCAACCUAUUGCGAAAAGUAAACCAUGCCA
rnacentral:misc_RNA from 1 species